UGACCAGACUCCUACGGGAGGCAGCAGUGGGGAAUAUUGGGCAAUGGGCGCAAGCCUGACCCAGCAACGCCGCGUGAAGGAAGAAGGCUUUCGGGUUGUAAACUUCUUUUCUCAGGGACGAAGAAAGUGACGGUACCUGAGGAAUAAGCCACGGCUAACUACGUGCCAGCAGCCGCGGUAAUACGUAGGGAGCAAGCGUUAUCCGGAAUUAUUGGGUGUAAAGGGUGCGUAGACGGGACAGCAAGUUAGUUGUGAAAGCCCUCGGCUUAACUGAGGAACUGCAACUAAAACUAUUGUUCUUGAGUGCAGGAGAGGAAAGCGGAAUUCCUAGUGUAGCGGUGAAAUGCGUAGAUAUUAGGAGGAACACCAGUGGCGAAGGCGGCUUUCUGGACUGUAACUGACGUUGAGGCACGAAAGUGUGGGGAGCAAACAGGAUUAGAUACCCUAGUA
rnacentral:rRNA from 1 species